ACGUGCGAUCUAACUGGCUCAGCCGAGACCACUUCCCGGACACCCUUUAUAAACGAGAAAUAAUUUAUUCUCUAGGCCACCGCAUGGGAGCCUCAAUGACUCAUUCGCGUCAUAGAUGACAGGAUGAAGAAUGGCAAUACCCUUUGCUGUUUUGACUAACAAUCGCGGAGAGAACGGACGAAAUUUGUAAAGAAACUGAAUGCGAAGAUGGUCGGGCGACUUGAGAUGCAGCUGGCGUUCUUAGCAGCAAUUCAACUUCAACGAGGUAUGCCAAAUUCUUCUUCAAUAACAGACUCGUCAUUCCUUUCCGCUGCGGCUGGUUGCGAAGCGUCCGAAGAAAAGAACGUUCUUUGGGAAUAAGAAAAUAAGCUAUGAAUGGACAAUGGGAUCCAAUUAAUUAGCCGUGAUAAGAGAAUCCGAUAAGGCCCGUUUGCAUUACCGAAGCGCUUGCGGUCAAUCGUUAUCGAAACAGGAAUUGAUUUUUGUGCACUUAUUUCCCUCGAUAUCUCACGUCAGUGAGCUGCUUUCGUAGUUCUUAUUAAAGUAUUUCACUCGCUCCUUUUUUACAGCCGUUUCGACUAGGAAAUAAGGUCGAGAGAUAAGGAAUAAUUCUCCUCACGAAGAUUAGAGUUACAACGGUCUGCGAGGUUCUUGUUUAUUUCUUAUUUACCUUCCUGCCAAGGACCAGGUGUAGCAUUUCCGGCUACCAUUUAUCUGGGUUCAACUCAAAGCCCCUCGAACUUGUUUACAGCUGUGUACAGUGAGGCCGUGGUGCAUUCAAAGUGAAGGGACUUGUGCGGGAUCAACAUUGUCUUGUAUUGUAACGUAAUCGCCUUUCGAGAACGUUCCCAUUCGAAGGGUCUCUCUUGGUCUUCGUGUUCUCGGACGCUCUCCUGAGCGCGAAUUCGAGUCUCUUUGUGCUUGCUAAUUUCUGACUCGUUGAGUUCAAACGAUUCUUCACUAGUCGUCGGGAAAUCACGACUGAAACUUUGGCAGAUCGAGGGGGCAGAUCAGUGUGAAAAAAAAAACGCAAAAGAGCUUCUGUCUGGUCCAGGGACAACAGACUAAUCGAUUCUGGCUGUGGCACUUGUGCUGUCAACCGUCGCGGAGUCUUUUUUUGAGAGGCCACUUUGCGUCCGCUCCUCUGCUUAAUAAAAUGCACUAAAUAUCAAAAAAUGUCCUUGUAUACUUCAUUACUUCAAUAAUUGAUACACAAAAUUUCAAAUAA